rnacentral:rRNA from 1 species
GGGUUGUGAGGUUAAGCGAAUAAGCGUACACGGUGGAUGCCUAGGCAAUCAGAGGCGAUGAAGGACGUGCUAAUCUGCGAAAAGCGUCGGUAAGGUGAUAUGAACCGUUAUACCCGACGAUAUCCGAAUGGGGAAACCCAGUAUCCAAUGGAUACUAUCAUUAACUGAAUCCAUAGGUUAAUGAGGCGAACCGGGAGAACUGAAACAUCUCAGUACCCCGAGGAAAAGAAAUCAACCGAGAUUCCCCUAGUAGCGGCGAGCGAACGGGGAGCAGCCCAGAGUCUUAAUCAAUAGCAGUGUCAGGAGAACGGUCUGGAAAGUCCGGCAGUAAAGGGUGAUAGCCCCGUAUCUGAAGAUGCUGUUAUUGUGAACUCGACGAGUAGGGCGGGACACGUGUUAUCCUGUCUGAAUAUGGGGGGACCAUCCUCCAAGGCUAAAUACUCCUGAUUGACCGAUAGUGAACCAGUACCGUGAGGGAAAGGCGAAAAGAACCCCGGCGAGGGGAGUGAAAAAGAACCUGAAACCGUGUACGUACAAGCAGUAGGAGCCUCUUUAUGGGGUGACUGCGUACCUUUUGUAUAAUGGGUCAGCGACUUAUAUUCUGUAGCGAGGUUAACCGUAUAGGGGAGCCGUAGGGAAACCGAGUCUUAACUGGGCGAAUGAGUUGCAGGGUAUAGACCCGAAACCCGGUGAUUCAUCCAUGGGCAGGUUGAAGGUUGGGUAACACUAACUGGAGGACCGAACCGACUAAUGUUGAAAAAUUAGCGGAUGACUUGUGGAUGGGGGUGAAAGGCCAAUCAAACCGGGAGAUAGCUGGUUCUCCCCGAAAGCUAUUUAGGUAGCGCCUCGUGAACUCAUCUUCGGGGGUAGAGCACUGUUUCGACUAGGGGGUCAUCCCGACUUACCAACUCGAUGCAAACUGCGAAUACCGAAGAAUGUUAUCACGGGAGACACACGGCGGGUGCUAACGUCCGUCGUGAAGAGGGAAACAACCCAGACCGCCAGCUAAGGUCCCAAAGUCAUGGUUAAGUGGGAAACGAAGUGGGAAGGCUCAGACAGCCAGGAUGUUGGCUUAGAAGCAGCCAUCAUUUAAAGAAAGCGUAAUAGCUCACUGGUCGAGUCGGCCCGCGCGGAAGAUGUAACGGGGCUAAACCAUGCACCGAAGCUGCGGCAGCGACACAUAGUGUUGUUGGGUAGGGGAGCGUUCUGUAAGCCUGCGAAGGUGUACUGUGAGGUAUGCUGGAGGUAUCAGAAGUGCGAAUGCUGACAUAAGUAACGAUAAUGCGGGUGAAAACCCGCACGCCGGAAGACCAAGGGUUCCUGUCCAACGUUAAUCGGGGCAGGGUGAGUCGACCCCUAAGGCGAGGCUGAAAAGCGUAGUCGAUGGGAAACGGGUUAAUAUUCCCGUACUGGUGGUAACUGCGAUGGGGGAACGGAGAAGGCUAGGUUGUCCGGGCGACGGUCGUCCCGGUUCAAGCAGGUAGGCAGAGUGAUUAGGCAAAUCCGGUCACUUAAUGCUGAGAUGUGAUGACGAACCACCAAGGUGGUGAAGCAAUUGAUGCCCCGCUUCCAGGAAAAGCCUCUAAGCUUCAGGUUACCAACAAUCGUACCCCAAACCGACACAGGUGGUCAGGUAGAGAAUACUCAGGCGCUUGAGAGAACUCGGGUGAAGGAACUAGGCAAAAUGGUGCCGUAACUUCGGGAGAAGGCACGCUGGCGGUAGGUAAAGUCCCUCGCGGACGGCGCCCAAGCCAGUCGAAGAUACCAGCUGGCUGCAACUGUUUAUUAAAAACACAGCACUGUGCAAACACGAAAGUGGACGUAUACGGUGUGACGCCUGCCCGGUGCUGGAAGGUUAAUUGAUGGGGUCAGCCGUAAGGCGAAGCUCCUGAUCGAAGCCCCAGUAAACGGCGGCCGUAACUAUAACGGUCCUAAGGUAGCGAAAUUCCUUGUCGGGUAAGUUCCGACCUGCACGAAUGGCGUAAUGAUGGCCAGGCUGUCUCCACCCGAGACUCAGUGAAAUUGAACUCGCUGUGAAGAUGCAGUGUACCCGCGGCAAGACGGAAAGACCCCGUGAACCUUUACUAUAGCUUGACACUGAACAUUGAGCCUUGAUGUGUAGGAUAGGUGGGAGGCUUUGAAGUGUGGACGCCAGUCUGCAUGGAGCCAACCUUGAAAUACCACCCUUUAACGUUUGAUGUUCUAACCUAGGCCCAUAAACUGGGUCGGGGACCGUGUCUGGUGGGUAGUUUGACUGGGGCGGUCUCCUCCUAAAGAGUAACGGAGGAGCACGAAGGUUGGCUAAGCAUGGUCGGACAUCAUGCGGUUAGUGCAAAGGCAUAAGCCAGCUUGACUGCGAGUGACGGCUCGAGCAGGUACGAAAGUAGGUCUUAGUGAUCCGGUGGUUCUGAAUGGAAGGGCCAUCGCUCAACGGAUAAAAGGUACUCCGGGGAUAACAGGCUGAUACCGCCCAAGAGUUCAUAUCGACGGCGGUGUUUGGCACCUCGAUGUCGGCUCAUCACAUCCUGGGGCUGAAGUAGGUCCCAAGGGUAUGGCUGUUCGCCAUUUAAAGUGGUACGCGAGCUGGGUUUAGAACGUCGUGAGACAGUUCGGUCCCUAUCUGCCGUGGGCGUUGGAAGAUUGAGAGGGGUUGCUCCUAGUACGAGAGGACCGGAGUGAACGCACCACUGGUGUUCGGGUUGUCAUGCCAAUGGCAUUGCCCGGUAGCUAAGUGCGGAAGAGAUAACCGCUGAAAGCAUCUAAGCGGGAAACUUGCCUCGAGAUGAGUCUUCCCUGUCGCUUUAAGCGACCUAAAGGAACGUUUAAGACUAAGACGUUGAUAGGCUGGGUGUGUAAGCGUAGCGAUACGUUGAGCUAACCAGUACUAAUGAACCGUGAGGCUUAACCUGACAACACCGAAAGUGUUUUG